rnacentral:rRNA from 1 species
CCUGAGGAAGGUUCGUCCGCUCAGGGUUAGUCGGGACCUAAGCCGAGGCCGAAAGGCGUAGGUGAUGGACAAUCGGUUGAUAUUCCGAUACCACCUAUUUACGUUUGAGAAAUGGGGUGACGCAGUAGGAUAAGAUGUGCGCACUAUUGGAUGUGCGUCUAAGCACUUAGGCAUGCUUGAUAGGCAAAUCCGUCGAGCUAAGCUGAGGUGUGAUGGGGAG